rnacentral:rRNA from 1 species
AUGGAGAAUCAUUUGAUGAAGAAGCAGUACUUAAAAAAAUCUCUAGAAGGAAUUGUGAUAGCUAUUUUUGCUGGUAUAACUGCAACUUCACAAGAGUUUACAGGUACAAUACAAGGUUCUUCAAGUUCUGCAACGCAUGUGUAUCUUGACCUCAAUAUACCUGAAGUUCAACAGUAUCGAAGCAGGUAUAAGCUUCCCCUUACACUAACAGAUAGCUCAGGAAGUUUGGAUGCAGUUGCCUUUAAUAAAAUAGCUGAAGACUUGGUUGAGCAUCAUGCUGAGGAAGUUUCUAUGAACAUGAAAAUAGAUGCGGCGGAUCAGGUGCUUUCCCUGGAUAAAGCCAUUGGUAAAGAAAGGUUAUUCUAUAUAGGAAUGAAUAUUGAUUCAGCUGCCAAGUACCCUAUAAAAUAUGUCCUGAAAAAAAGUUUCCCCGUGGACAAUACCAAAUCGGUUCCUCUGUUAACUGCUUCAAAGGUAACAAAUUUUUGA